UUUGACAUGUUAAAAUAAGCUAGUGGAAUUUAGGAUUAUCGUUAGUUAAAUUAGACUCGAGUAAAUUAGAGUUAAAUAACUAAAGUAUUGUAAAGCCUAGUGGCGUGUUUACGUGUCCGUUAUGCUGAUACAAUUCUGUCUAUGUGUGGGGAAACAUUAACACAGCUGAAAUUGCCAAGUGUAGGAUAUGGUUAAGUUUAGAUAUCAGGUUGAUGCAUAACUUUAGGUAUUAAGUUAGAGUUGUUUCUGCAUUAGGUUAGAGAUGGAUAAGUAUUAGGUUAGAGAUGGGCUUUGCCUCUAGUGGUGAGUGCGCAAAUGUCAGCUGUGGCGUUAAGUCUAUCCCAAAUUUGUGUGGCUUGUGUAA